CCUACGGGAGGCAGCAGUGAGGAAUAUUGGUCAAUGGGCGAGAGCCUGAACCAGCCAAGUCGCGUGAGGGAGUACUGCCCUAUGGGUUGUAAACCUCUUUUGUCGGGGAGCAAAAGCCGGACGUGUCCGGCUGUGAGAGUACCCGAAGAAAAAGCAUCGGCUAACUCCGUGCCAGCAGCCGCGGUAAUACGGAGGAUGCGAGCGUUAUCCGGAUUUAUUGGGUUUAAAGGGUGCGCAGGGGGAUUUUUAAGGCAGCGGUAAAAUCGUGGGGCUCAACCCCAUCCAGCCGUUGAAACUGGGGAUCUAGAGUGUGCGAGAGGUAUGCGGAAUGCGUGGUGUAGCGGUGAAAUGCAUAGAUAUCACGCAGAACCCCGAUUGCGAAGGCAGCAUACCGGUGCACAACUGACGCUCAGGCACGAAAGCGUGGGUAUCGAACAGGAUUAGAUACCCCGGUAGUC
rnacentral:rRNA from 1 species